rnacentral:pre_miRNA from 1 species
AGUUUUCUGAGUGUACAUAUAUGUAUGUAUGUAUAUAUAUAUAUAUAUAUAUACACACACACAUAAGAC